GUUUAGACUGAAGAACUGCAAGGUGUGCACCUUGAGCACAGUCCCAAGCUUUCCAGCUGAAAUUGCUCUUUUGUUUUGACCCUGUUUUGGGGUGUUUGGAGGCCGCAUCUUUAGGUGCACCCAUGCAUGCAGGAUAUCAUUUUAUGAACUAUAUGAUGCCCUGCAUGUAUGGGUGUACCUAAAGUCAUGACCUCCAAAUGCCCCAAAACUGGCUCAAUUCACAAGCUAUUUCAGUUACAACGUUUGGAACGGCGCUAAAAUUGUGUAUUGACCCUGUUUUGGGGAAAUACCCCCACAAUCUACUGUCUUGUGUAUUGACCCUGUUUUGGGGAGUUUGGAGGCCGCGUCUUUAGGUGCACCCAUGCAUGCAGCUCUACGGAGAACUGCGACAAGAAGAUCUGCAUGUAGGAAAGCAAGGAUGGUGCCGCUGCAGGUGAGCACUUUCAAGCAAUAUAUAGUUUGUGGGGGCUAUUUUACAGUUAAGGGAGUGUUUAGACUGAAGAACGGCAAGGUGUGUACCUAGAGCGCAGUCCCAAGCUUUCCAGCUGAAAUUGCUCUUGGGUAUUGACCCUGUUUUGGGUUGUUUGGAGGGCACGUCUUUAGGUGCACCCACAGAUGCAGUUCUACAGAGAACUGGGCCCACAGAUCUACUUGUAGGAAAGCAAGGAUGGUGCCGCUGCAGGUGUUCACUUUCAAGCAAUAUAUAGUUUGUGGGGGGUAUUUCACAGGUAAGGGGGUGUUUAGACUGAAGAACUGCAAGGUGUGCACCUAGAGCGCAGCCCCAAGCUUUCCAGCUGAAAUUGCUCUUGUGUAUUGACCCAGUUUUGGGAGGUUGCGUCUUUAGUUGCACCCAUACAUGCAGAGUAUAAUUUUGUUUGGAAGAAGUUGGAGAUUGAUACUUAGCAUGUUUUUUUUUCUUUCCAUGGCAAUUUUGGGGAGAAAUAUAACUUUGUAACUUUUUUCUUUUUCGUUUGGUCAAACCACAAACUUCUACGGAGAACUGCACCCACAGAUCUCCACGUUGGAAAGCAAGGAUAGCGUCCCUGAAUAGCUACAGGAGCAGAAGAUUAUUGGAAUGAGAGAAGGGUUUUCUGAACCUGUGAAUGAUGAGUAUUUUAUGGCUUUUUGUUAUUGGUUCUGGUGUCAGCACCCAGAGACUUUCCUAUAGGAGCCAAGAGGAUGGAGUGGGGAGACCCUCUUGUGAGUUAACUGCACAACUGCUCACAACAAUCCCAUCAUAAUAAAGCUGCAUUUUAAGCAUAGUCAAUGGCAAAACUACCGGGGUUGUGAUCACACCAAGGCCUGCACCCUCAACUGGAUCUAACAGAUGCGCUGACAGGAAAUCUGUCUCUAAACUUCAUUCAGAAAGGUUAGUUACAUUACUGUAGCAAAUUGAUUUCUUAUGAUUAAAAUAUUUCAAUAUUUUCUGAAUUCUGUUGCUCUAUUAAAAGUAAUGAAAACAUUUUUUAAAAUAUAUAAUUGUCAUUCUAAAAUAGGUGUGCUCUAAGAAGGAUCAAUACUGUAACCCACUUUAAAAUUACCCAUUAUGCUAAUGUGAUGAAAAUGACAUGGAAUAAACAUUUACUUGUGAUCAGA